UACGGGGGGGGCAAGCGUUGUUCGGAAUUACUGGGCGUAAAGGGCUCGUAGGCGGCCAACUAAGUCAGACGUGAAAUCCCUCGGCUUAACCGGGGAACUGCGUCUGAUACUGGAUGGCUCGAGUUUGGGAGAGGGAUGCGGGAAUUCCAGGUGUAGCGGUGAAAUGCGUAGAUAUCUGGAGGAACACCGGUGGCGAAGGCGGCAUCCUGGACCGAUACUGACGCUGAGGAGCGAAAGCCAGGGGAGCAACGGG
rnacentral:rRNA from 1 species